AGUGAACGCUGGCGGUAGGCCUAACACAUGCAAGUCGAACGGCAGCACAGUAAGAGCUUGCUCUUACGGGUGGCGAGUGGCGGACGGGUGAGGAAUACAUCGGAAUCUACUUUUUCGUGGGGGAUAACGUAGGGAAACUUACGCUAAUACCGCAUACGACCUACGGGUGAAAGCAUGGGAUCUUCGGACCUUGCGCGAUUGAAUGAGCCGAUGUCGGAUUAGCUAGUUGGCGGGGUAAAGGCCCACCAAGGCGACGAUCCGUAGCUGGUCUGAGAGGAUGAUCAGCCACACUGGAACUGAGACACGGUCCAGACUCCUACGGGAGGCAGCAGUGGGGAAUAUUGGACAACGGGCGCAAGCCUGAUCCAGCCAUACCGCGUGGGUGAAGAAGGCCUUCGGGUUGUAAAGCCCUUUUGUUGGGAAAGAAAAGCAGCAGGUUAAUACCCCGCUGUUCUGACGGUACCCAAAGAAUAAGCACCGGCUAACUUCGUG
rnacentral:rRNA from 1 species